UACGUAGGGGGCUAGCGUUGUCCGGAAUCACUGGGCUUAAAGGGCGCGUAGGCGGGCGAUCAAGUCAGGGGUGAAAGCCCCCAGCUCAACUGGGGAAGUGCCUCUGAUACUGGUCAUCUUGAGGGAGGUAGGGGCGUGCGGAACUUCCGGUGGAGCGGUGAAAUGCGUAGAUAUCUGGAGGAACACCGGUGGCGAAGGCGGCAUCCUGGACCGGCAUUGACGCUGAGGCGCGAAAGCCAGGGGAGCAAACGGG
rnacentral:rRNA from 1 species